rnacentral:misc_RNA from 1 species
GUUCUGAUGUGACAUUUGACCUGUUAAAAUGUAGUUAUUGGAUGGCAUAAUCCUCUUGUCAACUUGCCAUCCACUGCACAAGUACGCACAUAUGCGUUGGUGGUUGUUUAUUAAGCGAUGACUAUAGAAAUGUGUGAAAGAUACUCCAGAUGCUUUAUUUAACGUUGCAUAUCUUCUUGGCGGUGACAAAUAUUAGAAUUAUUUCUUUCAAUAUCUACUUGGAUUGAGAUGCAUAUUUUGCUUGGUGAACCAUGGAAACCUUGCUAUUGAUUUUUAGAUAUUUGCACUGCAUGGCCAUUUCCUUGGAUGUAAUUUAGGAUCUUAUGAGAGGAGACCCAUGGAGGUGCUUCUUUGUUUUACUGACAGCCUCUAAUGUGGAGAGGAGAGCUAGCAUUUUAUAUGAAGACUGAAAUUCCUCAAGUCAACUUUUUCUGGCAAUACAUAAUCAAGCUACUUGCAAUUUUUAGUGUUUUAACUUUAUUUUACUGGAGAACUGUGUUAAUAUACUUUCAGCUAAUGCUGUAUUAAUUUUCUAGGUCUAUCAUUGGUUAUGUAGUCAUCCUUGGCAUGCACUGGACAAUUGAUUGUCCUUGUGUGAAUUUAGCCUGAAUUAUGUGCACAAUUAAUUUUGUUUAGUACUAUCCUUUUUCCUUGAAGUUCACAUAGCUCGAACAGAAUUGUAAAUUGUACAACAAAAAUAGUUGGUGACAGUCUGAUAGAAUGAUGAGCAACUUAUGUGCAGCUAUUAUUCAUUUUCUUUUGUUUUUCUAGAAGGCCUCAUAAGUUUAUAGAUCCUUGAUCUCAUGGUUUGUGAUGUAUAGGGAAUCUUCAAUCAUUUAUUGAUUGCCUUUAUUGCUAUCUUCUUCUACCUUUGAUGAUGUGUCCUGGAUUUCUUGUAUGUGAGGGAACCUCUGAUUCUUGUUUGAUUCCAGGAAUUUGACUGAGCUUGACAUACAGGAGAAUGGCAUUGACGAUAAGAGUGGC